rnacentral:lncRNA from 1 species
GGAGAACUGCUUUUUCUAGGCAAUAGACCAGUAGGAUAUGCUCCUUAAUUCCUCACUUUUUGGUCUUGUUUUUCAUGAGACUUUCUUAUCAGAGUCUACUUUAAUGGUGGUCUCUCUGAACAUCAGAAAGAGUAUGUCAGAGUACCAAAGACACUCUGCUUCUGCUAUAAGCACAUUCAUAGCUGCUUCUUCCUGUUUGGCUAGAGCCAGUUCUGGACCUGAAAUCUUAGUUCUCUUCUCUCUCUGCUUGGUAUCACAGGUGAGUACUACUUCUACCUCUGACAUUGGCCUUGUGCUUGCAUUUGGCCAAGUCUGUUGGGACUACCUCUUCCUAAGUGUUUUGCUUACCCAGGUGUUAGCCAGAUAGCACGCAUGGAGAAUGAUUGGUACUUAGAAGAUACGGUUUUAGUAUUAGGAUUUUAGGAACUCCAAAGCCAGUAAGAGCAGAUAAGAAA